GCCACCGGGGCGCGAGCUCGCGCGUGCAGCGCUGCCCUGGCGCCGGCGGCUCGCUACUCCUCACGCUGCGGAGGCCGAGGCCGGCGGCCCUCCGAGGUCGCCCGGGGACGGCGCGGCUGUCCUGGGGCCGGUUCUGUGCGUCGCCGCCCAGCCAGGCGCUGCUGCUUUGUGGGCAGUGGGGCAGACGACCUGGGAGCCCCAAGAGGAUCUCUUAGGCCCAGAUGUGGCCCGCAGAGGCCUCGGACUGGCUAGUCACACGUGUGCAGAGAACACCAGAGAAAGUUGGUGCUGCAGUUCUUAAUGACUCUACCCUUUCAGGCCAGCCCCAGAAUCAAAAGGACAAAAGUGGGUAUGCUGGCAAGAGGAUCUUCCAAGUUUUUGAAAUCUGAAGAGCUGGGGACUAGUUUUCAUCAGUCUCUGGUGACGUAAUACUUUGUCAACGGUGUUUGGAGCAGGAGGAUUGUUCACCAUAGUCAGCCCUCCAUUCUGCUAGAAAUGGCCACUGGCCCUGACAUUCUAAAACACUAGGCUGAUGAUUCCUGUCCUUGUCCUGUUUUGGCAUUUGGAAGAAAGAAUGGGUGAAAAUAUAGAGGUGGAGAGCAGCCACCCUUUAGGAAGAACAGGCAUAACCUGCUGCCUACACAAGCCUGUUUUUAAAGAGGAAAGAUGCUCCUAGUUACUGACUUGUGUCCAGGGAGGCCUGGCCAUUUCCUCAAGGGAGCCAGCCAGGGACUUCUGUUAGGCUGCUCUGUGUGAGUCAGGCUUACUGAGCAAGAUCAGCUCUUGGACUUCUGCAGGGGCAACAUCCCAUCCACUUGACCCCAGGUUGUGAGCAGGGUUGCUGGACACAGCCAGUUCCCACUGCCCACCUCACAGGACCUUCUGUCUGCAGGAUGGUGCUCUCUCAUGACAGCUGUACCCUCAGAUCACCAGAGACUCAAAAAUGUACCAGGAAUUCACUUUGCAGCACAGCACGUUUCAGGUCCCUGUGUAGGGUGACCACACCCAGAUUCCAAAGGAGAAUCUCAGCAGCCCUGGCUCCUCCUGUGGGCCUUCCCCAGCUCCUCAGGUGUGUCUGCCUCGUGACUGAGCCAUGGUGCUGUCAGGCAGGGAUGUGGCCUACUUCUGUGGUUGUGCAUGACAUCCUUUGUCCCAGGUAAGAGGUAGGUUUCUUUUUCAUCUGAAGCAUGUUUCCGUGACUGUCCUGGUUCUAUGGAAGAACCAGGGAGUCUGCACAAUUUGUGCUGUGCACCAUCCCUCUUGUGAGCUCCAGGAACCCAUACUCUGCCUCAAGAAUCUUCUAAGGCUUCCCUUUGACUUCUGAGCCUCCUCUCAACCUAUCUGUCUUGUUUAAUUUCCUGAUAUUGCCUCUUGUGACCCUGUGCAUUGCGACUUCACUGGCCUGCUUGAUCUCCACAGCACAGCCCACAUGCUUGGACUUCUGCCUAAGACGUUUGUCCUUGUGGCCCCUGACCACAAAUCUUGCUAUGUUAGAAUUAUCCAGACAAACAGAACCAGUAGGAUGGAUAGAUAGAUAGAUCUAUAUUGACCUGUCCACUCAUCUAUCCCUAUCUAUCGAUCAAUUGAUCAAUUUGUUUUAGGGAAUUGGCUCACAUGACUGUGGAGACUGGCAAGUCCUAACUCUAUAGGACAGCGCAGUGGGCUGGAGCCCCAGGAAAGAGUUGAUGUUGCAGUCUUGAGUCUGAAGGCUUGUCUGGAGGCAGAAUCCCUCCUUCCUCUGGUAACCUGUCUUCUCUCUGAAGGCCUUUAACUGAUUGGAUGAGGCCCACCUACCUUAUGGAGGGUGACCUGCUUUACUCAAAGU